GACGAACGCUGGCGGCGUGCCUAAUACAUGCAAGUCGAACGAGAGCGACCGGUGCUUGCACUGGUCAAUCUAGUGGCGAACGGGUGAGUAACACGUGGGUAACCUGCCCAUCAGAGGGGGAUAACAUCCGGAAACGGAUGCUAAGACCGCAUAGGUCUUCGAACCGCAUGGUUUGAAGAGGAAAAGAGGCGCAAGCUUCUGCUGAUGGAUGGACCCGCGGUGCAUUAGCUAGUUGGUGAGGUAACGGCUCACCAAGGCCGUGAUGCAUAGCCGACCUGAGAGGGUGAUCGGCCACAUUGGGACUGAGACACGGCCCAAACUCCUACGGGAGGCAGCAGUAGGGAAUCUUCCGCAAUGGACGCAAGUCUGACGGAGCAACGCCGCGUGAGUGAAGAAGGUUUUCGGAUCGUAAAACUCUGUUGUUAGAGAAGAACAAGUGCUAGAGUAACUGUUAGCGC
rnacentral:rRNA from 1 species